GACUAUGGCCAUGCCACCCUGAACGUGCUCCAUCUCAUCUGACCUUGGAAGCUAAGCAGGGUCGGGCCUGGUUAGUACUUGGAUGGGAGACCACCUAGGAAGACAAGGUGCUGGAGGUG
rnacentral:rRNA from 1 species